CUGCCGUGGUUGCCACCCACGGGCAGGUGCCCGCACGAACACUCCCGGGGAGAGGUGGUGCGCCUGUGGGCAUGAAAUGGUCGGCAGGGCGUCGGGUUCGAUGCGGGACCCAAGCAAAAGCUGAGGAAACAGGGUUUAUUGGCACAGACUCCGCCCCUUGAAUUCACCGUUCAUUCCAUCCGGCCGGGAGAUUGGGUCUUAGUAAAAUCAUGUACAGAGACUAAACUGCAGCCGGACUGGGAAGGGCCGUACCAGGCUCUUUUGACUCCCGAAACGGCAAUAAGGACGGAGGAGAAAGGCUGGACUCACUACACUCGGAUCAAAGGGUCAGUGGAAUCUCCAGUUGAGGAAGAAGUCUGGACAGCCGAAUCAACACAAGACCCGCUGAAACUCAGGCUAAAGAGACUUUGAGUAACUGAUUAUACAGUGGCGAAGCGAGCGCGGGAUUAUUUCUGUAGGAUUGUAUAUUAAGUCUUUUUGUGCUUCAGCAUGUUUUUUUUAGAAUGCUGGGAAUGUUUAGAGUUAUGUUGCUAGCCCCCUUAGUAUCGGGAUUUUGUCAAAUAUCAUUUUCAUGCGUGUUAUUAACGGUCCCUGAGUCUGAUAAUCCACAGGUAAAGGACUUAAAACAGACCAUUGAAAUAGAAACUGGAUACGGGGAUGCAAAUGCCUGGGUUGAAUGGGUAAAGUAUACUGUAAAAAGUCUGAACAAAAGCAUUUGCUAUGCAUGUGCCUCCAGUAGGCCAGUGGCCCAGGUGCUUCCCUUUCCGCUCGGGUGGAAGCGAGACAGGCAGGGCAUGAAAUGUAUGAUAGCCCUGUAUCAGGUUGAGACUACAUGGAAUGAUAGGCACUGUAACUCCCUAUCUCUGAUGUUCCCUCCCUUGGAGAAGAAAGAUGCAAAAGAUCCCCCCUACAUUUCAUCCACAGUCGGAAAUCACACGUCGUGUGUGCGUAGAUGAGGUACUAAUCGGUCUAGAGCUGAAAUUAUGUACAGAGAUUAAGAAUGUCAUCAAAACGGACAAGGGAGAGAACUACUCAGCACUGAAGGUUCCCCAAGAGGAUCUGUGGUGGGACUGUGGAGGCAAAAUACUGAGACCCAUCCUCCCUCCGGAUUGGUAAGGGAUAUGUGCAAUUGUACAAUUGGCAAUUCCAUUUACCCUGGCAUUUGAGAAGGAAAAGAUAGUGGGGAAAAAGGGAAGGAGUAAGAGACCACUGUUAGACACUUCUUUCGAUGACAGGAUUUAUCUCGAUUCGGUAGGAGUCCCUAGGGGGGUACCUGAUGAGUUCAAGGCUCGUAACCAGAUUGCAGCAGGCUUUGAGUCAGCUCUCUUUUGGUGGGUAACAAAAAAUAAAAAUGUAGAUUGGAUAAAUUACAUUUUCUAUAAUCAACAGCGAUUUAUAAAUUAUACAAGGGAUGCGGUUAAAGGAAUAUCAGAACAGCUUGAUGCGACAAGUAGGAUGGCAGGGGAAAACAGAAUGGCCCUUGAUAUGAUUUUAGCAGAAAAAGGGUGUGUGUGUGUGUGUGUGUGUGUGUGUGUGUGUGUGUGUGUGUGUGUGUGUGUGUGUGUGUGUGUGUGUGUGUGUGUGUGUGUGUGAGAGAGAGAUGUUAGGAGGAAGCUGUUGUACCUUUAUUCCUAAUAACACUGUGCCUGAUGGUUCAAUUACUCGGGCCUUAAGGGGAUUGACUACCUUAGCAGAGGAACUGGCUGAGAAUUCAGGAGUAGACACAUCUCUCACGGGAUGGCUUGAAUCCUUGUUUGGAAGGUGGAAGGGGGUGGUAGUUUCCAUCCUUACUUCCCUGAUAGUAGUAGUCAGGGUAUUGGUGGCCAUUGGCUGUUGUAUCAUACCCUGUAUACGUGGGUUCACCCAAAGACUGAUUGAGACAGCCUUAAUGAAACAGAUGCCCUUAAAAGGAAAUCAGACAGAGGAACUUUAUCAACUAAAUAUUGAGGAGAUGAGUGAGACCAAGAUGGAUGAAAUCUCCGGAAUGAUACAUGCGAAUUUUGGGAGCGAUGCUAAAAAGAAAAAUGCAGAAAAUAACAAAUGGUAAUUAAAGAAAAAGGGGGAAAUUGUGUGAUAUAGGUAAAGCAGUAUUACUUCUGCAAUUAUAAUUACUUAUGCAAGGUAAAUGAACUCACACCAGUGUGUAAUGGUUUCAACCAAGAGCUGAGUCAACAAGAAUGAAAACUCUGUGGAGGAAAUAUAUAAUAGUUUUUGUAUGAGCUAAAAUGUGCAUACAAGAAUGAAACAUGCCUGCAAACAAAGGUAGAUGUUACAGACAAAUGGAUAAGGUGCUGUGAGGGUGUAAAUUAAGCCAGAUAUGCCUGUACAAACAAUAGGUAUAAGCAUCUGUUUCCCACUUCUGCAAAAACACAAAAAACAAACCCCAAUUAAAAGGUCAUAAGGAUCAAUAUGGAUGGGGAAAGGGAGGAAAUGGCACAGGUGGAGGAAGUGGAUAAGAGUGAAGGAGGAUAUACCUAACAAUGGGCCACAGCAGGAUGUGGUGAAAUGGCCGAGUAAAACUUGUACUUUGUUAUGCACAAGGCCGGAUAAGGCAAGAGAUAAACAACAGUAAUGGGCACCGGGUUGGGAGGAAUAAAUCCUAUAUAAGGUAUGUACUUGCUAAACUCUGGGUGCCUUACUUCAGGCACCAUGCUUACAAGCGUAUAAUAAACAUACCGAUUGCUUCA